rnacentral:rRNA from 1 species
AGCGAACGCUGGCGGCAGGCCUAACACAUGCAAGUCGAACGGCUCUUCGGAGCAGUGGCGGACGGGUGAGUAACGCGUGGGAACGUGCCCUUUGGUUCGGAACAACACAGGGAAACUUGUGCUAAUACCGGAUGUGCCCUUCGGGGGAAAGAUUUAUCGCCAUUGGAGCGGCCCGCGUUGGAUUAGGUAGUUGGUGGGGUAAUGGCCCACCAAGCCGACGAUCCAUAGCUGGUCUGAGAGGAUGAUCAGCCACACUGGGACUGAGACACGGCCCAGACUCCUACGGGAGGCAGCAGUGGGGAAUCUUGCGCAAUGGGCGAAAGCCUGACGCAGCCAUGCCGCGUGAAUGAUGAAGGUCUUAGGAUUGUAAAAUUCUUUCACCGGGGAAGAUAAUGACGGUACCCGGAGAAGAAGCCCCGGCUAACUUCGUGCCAGCAGCCGCGGUAAUACGAAGGGGGCUAGCGUUGCUCGGAAUUACUGGGCGUAAAGGGCGCGUAGGCGGACAGUUAAGUCAGAGGUGAAAGCCCAGGGCUCAACCUUGGAAUUGCCUUUGAUACUGGCUGUCUUGAGUUCGGGAGAGGUGAGUGGAAUGCCGAGUGUAGAGGUGAAAUUCGUAGAUAUUCGGCGGAACACCAGUGGCGAAGGCGACUCACUGGCCCGAUACUGACGCUGAGGCGCGAAAGCG